rnacentral:rRNA from 1 species
AUGCUGCCCUCCUCCAGAUCAAGAUCUGGGCCGAAUGAGUCGCCCGUCGGCAGCAGGACCAGGCCCAGCACGCCCUCCUCCGGUCACCGCCCCUCCACGCCCUCCUCCGGCUACCGCCCAUCCACCCCGGGCGGCACCAGGAGGGGCACAACCGCCGCCGGCGGCACCGGCGGGGGCACGCCGUCCACGCCCCGGGGCACGCGCAACAGCGGCGGCCCCUUCAGGUCCGAGCCCAACUCGCCGCCGGCCGCCGCGGCGGCGCGGCCGCGCCUCUCCUUCGACCGCUCCCCGAGAUCCGCCGAUGCCAAGCCCGUCGCCGAGCGCCGGGUGCCCAAGAUCGGCACGCCUCCCCCCGACCAGAAGCAGCUGCGGAGGGAGAUCGAGCUGCAGUCGCGGCUCGAGUCCGCGCACGAGGACCUCAAGAAGGCCAAGGACCAGCUCUCCUUCGUCGUCGGCGAGAAGGACCGCCUCGUCGGCGAGCUCAACGAGGCCAAGAGGGUGGCCGAUGAGAUACACGAGAAGCUCCAGGACGCGCUCAUGGCCAAGAGGUGGGCCGAGGAGGCCACCGAGAUCGAGAAGUUCCGGGCCGACGAGCUCGAGCAGGCGGGCAUCGAUGAGUCGCAGAAGAGGGACGAAGAGUGGCAGAGGGAGGUCGAGAGUGUGCGCAGCCAGCACGCCGCGGAUUUGGAGACGCUGGUCACCACCACCGAGGAGCUCGAGAGGUUCAGGCGCGAUCUCUCGAUGGCCAACGAGGCCAAGAAGGCUGCGCUUGGCCACGCGGACGAUGCCAUGAAGAUCGCCGAGGUCAACGCUGACAAGGUGGAGAUCCUCUCCGGCGAAGUCACCCGCUUGAAAGGAUUGCUUGAUUCCAGCGCGGCAGUUGAGGAGAGUAAAAACCGUGAAAGGGAGGAGUUUGUGAAGAAUUUGGAAUCCGAGAUUUCAGUUCUCAAAGGCAAACUAGAGGAGGCAAGAGUUCUUGAGGAGAGGUUGGCCGACAUGGAGAAACUGACCGAGGAGCUUAAAGCACAGCUGGCUGAUGCAAAGAAGGCCGAGUCAGAAGUCCAUCAGCAGUUUGAGGAAUGGAAGAACAAGGCCGGAUCACUUGAAAUGGAAUUGGAAGAGGCUACUCUCUCCGAGAAGGCCAAAAGCGAUACCCUUAUGUCCACGGAAGAAGAAUUGGACAAGACCCUGUCUAUCUUACAGGACAGAGAAUCUGAAAUGGAAGUGCUGAAAGGGAAGACAACAGCAUUGGAAAUUGAGGUGGCAAGGCUUUCAACAGAAAUUAACGAAUCCAGCGAGCACCUGGACGCCUCUCAGCAAGAGUUGUUUGGGCUGCAGACAACAAUAGAUGUUCUGAAAAACAAGCUUGAGGCUGCCGAAGAAGUGGCUUCGGAGGCUUUAAACAAUGAGAAGACUGCUAAUGCAAACAUUGUAAGCCUGACCGAGGAGAAAAUCAAGCUAAUUAACGAGUUGAAUGAUGCUAGGGACAGAGAGGAGAAAGAGAGAAGGGCAGUGGAGGAUCUCACUGCUGCGUUGAGUGAGGCAUCUGGCAAAGCAGAGGAAGCACAUGAGAGAUUUCUGAAGAAACAAGAUGAUUAUGAGCACGCCCUCGCACAGAUUGGCGAUCUCAAGAUGUCCCUAAAUAGUACCAAAGAGAACUAUGAGGUAAUGAUUGAGGAGGCACACUAUGAUAUCACUUGUUUAAGGAAUACAGUCGGAAAAUUAGAGGCUGAGGUGAGCAAGUAUAGAGAAGAAUGUGAAGCUAAGGAGCUUGAGAUUGUCAGUUUAAACAAGCAGUCAGAGGAAGAAAUUGCCGCUCUUAAAGCAGAAGCCGACAGGGUAGUAGCAUCAUUGCGGGAUGCAGAGCACGAACUCCAAACUGUCAACGAGGAGAAAGAGAUACUUCAAGAGAAGCUACUGUACACAGAAUCAGCGGUUGUUGAAGCUAACAGGGCUGUGCAGGAUGUGAAGGCGGAGAAAGAGGGUCUCCAGGAGCAGCUAAUGCGCACGGAAUCAGCUCUCGCUGAAGCCAGCAAGGCUUUACAGGAAGUAAAGGCUGAGAAAGAGGAUCUUCAAGAGCAGCUGAUGCACACGGAAUCAGCGGUUGCUGAAGCCAGCAAGGCUUUACAGGAAGUAAAGGCUGAUAAGGAGGAUCUUCAAGAGCAGCUAAUGCACACGGAAUCAGCGGUUGCUGAAGCUAACAAGGCCUUGCAGGAGGUAAAGGCUGAGAAGGAGGAUAUUCAAGAGCAGCUCAUGCACACAGAAUCAGGGGUUGCUGAAGCUAACAAUGCUGUUCAGGAGGUGAAGGCUGAGAAACAGGGCCUUCAAGAGCAGCUAACGCACAUGGAAUCAGCAGUUGCUGAAGCUAACAAGGCUGCGCAGGAGGCAACGUCCGAGAGUUUGCAACUUAAGGAUAGGUUACUUGAUAAAGAGAACGCAUUGCAGAGCUUAACCCAGGAGAACGACGAAUUCAGGCUGCGAGAGGCUGACGCCAUGAAGAAGAUAGAGGAAUUAUCUGCUCUGCUUGCUGAAGCCAUGGAAAAGAAGCAUCCUGAGGAGGAAGAGAAGCUAGUUGUUGUGGAUGAGGUGCACAGUUCAGCGCGUGAAGUUGCCGAGACAGCUGCAGAAACUGAAGACACAGAAGGAGAGAGUGUUAAAAAACCGAGCAUGGAACUCGUCGUCGCCAAUGGAAACUCCAAUGGCGACAUGAACCAAGAGGAAGAGAAAUACGACAGCAAGGUCGAGCAGCAGGAAGCAAAAAGUGAUUUCACCACGGUAUACGAGAGCGACAAAGUUGUUGAGAAGCAGCUGCAGGCAGAUGUGAAACAAGAAACCGAGUCUUCGAAAGACGACCUGUCCUCCAAGGAGGAUAGCAGCACCGAGCACGCAAACGGAACAGCAGCAUCAGCAGAGGUGACCAGCAAAGUCGCAAUGUCCCCGACAACGACAACAAAACCGCAGAAGAAGAACAAGCCCCUGCUGAAGAAGUUUGGCAACCUACUGAAAAAGAAGAACAGCAAGUAG